UCAAUUCCCGCGGCAGCGCGGGGGCCAGAAAACAAGUGUAGACGCAGAGAUUGGCUCCCCACGAGCAGUCCCUAGUUUACGAUAGAAAACACGAUUUCCUUUCGACACGAAAGCGCGUGUGGAGCGUAGCUCGCAGGGCGGCGGUCCCCAGUGACAGGUUAGGGAACGCUGUUUGCGGCUGCCCCGGAACGCUGAGCGCUGGGGCCGUUCUCCCGACCUCUCCCAGCGUCGGACUAGCCGCGGGGAAAGCCACGAAUGGGGGAGACGGGUGAAGGCAGAGGAUGGGCGAGGAAGGAAAGGGCUGAGAAAUGGGAAGAGCCCGUUCUGCCUCGGAAACUACAUAAUGGCAGGGAAGGACCGCCAACAGGACUGAAGCAGUACAAGUUGUACAGUUGUUUGUCUGUUUGACUCGGACAGCAGAAGUUGCACCAGAAGGGGCAAAAUGUCACCCAAGAGGCAGAGAAGAAAAAAAUAGCAAUUGAAUUCCCGAAGGAAUUCUGAGAGAAGCUGACAAGAGACUGCAGAAGACCCUAGAAGGCCUGCAGUAGAAUGGGUGAUUCCAUAGCAAAAACCUUGGAUUUUCGUAGAAGAUUGGACAUCAGAUCAAACCGUGUUCUUCCUUUUGUCGAGGCGCACCUGCGUCGCGUGAUUCAAGGUUGAUGACCAGCACAGAGCAUGGCUGUUUAAAGGUGUCCUUAAGGUGUCAUAGCAGUGGUGGCCCUCUGGAGCUAUGGUUUCCUCUCAGAAGAAUACAGACUUGUAGAUUAGGCCUGUAUUCAGUAUGAUAAGUUUCAGUAGUAGAAGUUAAGUAGUUUAACCUUAUAAAAAUGAGGUAUUUACAUAAAUAUGAAAAAAUAAGGAAAAGAAAUGAACUUGUCAAAAAGAAAACUGCAGACUUUGAGACUUUGUAACUGUAGGUUUAAUGCAUGCCAACUAGUUCUGCAUGACGUGGGAACUAUGUUAAUAAAAAUACUACGCAUUGGUAACUCCUAUUUUUUCCAUAAAAACGUUUAAUGAGAAAAGAUAUACCUGCCUGUUGUAAUUUAUAACAAGCAAAAGAAUAUAAAGUAACUGAAAAAAUA